CCUACGGGAGGCAGCAGUGAGGAAUAUUGGUCAAUGGGCGGGAGCCUGAACCAGCCAAGCCGCGUGAGGGAAGAAGGUACAGCGUAUCGUAAACCUCUUUUGUCAGGGAACAAAGGCGGGGACUAGUCCCCGGAUGAGGGUACCUGAAGAAAAAGCAUCGGCUAACUCCGGGCCAGCAGCCGCGGUAAUACGGGGGAUGCGAGCGUUAUCCGGAUUUAUUGGGUUUAAGGGGUGCGCAGGCGGCCUGUUAAGUCAGCGGGAAAAGCCCGGGGCUAAACCCCGGCGAGCCGUGGAAACUGGCGGGCUGGAGUGGGAGAGAAGUACGCGGAAUGCGCGGUGUAGCGGUGAAAUGCUUAGAUAUCGCGCAGAACACCGAUUGCGAAGGCAGCGUACCGGCUCCAAACUGACGCUGAGGCACGAAAGCGUGGGUAUCGAACAGGAUUAGAUACCCGUGUAGUC
rnacentral:rRNA from 1 species